CAGAGAGAGCCCCCAGAACAUUCCACAGGGGUUGGGCAGGCCCGGCGCAGGGCCUGCCUAUUGCCUGCAAGAGAAAUCCUGCCACGGAACCUGGGCUUCUCUGAUCUGCCAAACUUUGUGUCUCAUUUAGCUUUCUUUGUGUCACAAAGAAGCUGCGGAGUCUGAGGAUUUAGCAAAGGCCUCAGAGAGAUGGGAGGAGACACCAGCAGGGCUUCCCACUGUAGCCCUGAGAGGGACCCAUGUGCCUGGAAGGGGGCCUCAGCGUCCAGCCUGCCCCCCCAUUAGACCCUGUGACCUCUUCAGAGCUGACACAUCUUCUUUCCUGUCCUUGUGGAUCUGCAUCCCCAACCUGCACCAUCUUGAGCUUAAGAUUUUGGAUUUAUGGAAAAAGAGCUGUUUCAUUUACUGUCACCCACUAAAGGUGCACCACAAGCACCAGAUGGUAGGCAAAGUCACACUGCUGGUUUCUGCUGCUCCCUGCCCUGCUUGGUCUCCUAUGCUGGACCUCCCAUUGGGAAGAAGCCUCUCACCCCG
rnacentral:lncRNA from 13 species